rnacentral:rRNA from 1 species
UACGUAGGGCGCAAGCGUUUGUCCGGAAUUAUUGGGCGUAAAGAGCUCGUAGGCGGCUUGUCACGUCGGGUGUGAAAGCCCGGGGCUUAACCCCGGGUCUGCAUUCGAUACGGGCUGGCUAGAGUGCGGUAGGGGAGACUGGAAUUCCUGGUGUAGCGGUGAAAUGCGCAGAUAUCAGGAGGAACACCGGUGGCGAAGGCGGGGUCUCUGGGCCGAUACUGACGCUGAGGAGCGAAAGCGUGGGGAGCGAACAGG